rnacentral:rRNA from 1 species
CCUACGGGAGGCAGCAGUGGGGAAUCUUGCGCAAUGGGCGAAAGCCUGACGCAGCAACGCCGCGUGCGGGAAGAAGGCCCUAGGGUUGUAAACCGCUUUCAGUAGGAACGAAAAUGACGGUACCUGCAGAAGAAGGUGCGGCCAACUACGUGCCAGCAGCCGCGGUGACACGUAGGCACCAAGCGUUGUCCGGAUUUAUUGGGCGUAAAGAGCUCGUAGGCGGUUCAGUAAGUCGGGUGUGAAAACUCUGGGCUUAACCCAGAGCCGCCACUCGAUACUGCUGUGACUUGAGUUCGGUAGGGGAGCAGGGAAUUCCUAGUGUAGCGGUGAAAUGCGCAGAUAUUAGGAGGAACACCGGUGGCGAAGGCGCUGCUCUGGGCCGAUACUGACGCUGAGGAGCGAAAGCGUGGGUAGCAAACAGGAUUAGAUACCCUGGUAGUCCACGCCGUAAACGUUGGGCACUAGGUGUGGGUUCCAACCAACGGAAUCCGCGCCGUCGCUAACGCAUUAAGUGCCCGCCUGGGGAGUACGGCGGCAACGCUAAAACUCAAAGGAAUUGACGG